GGUUCACCUGGAGACUGCCGCUGGAAUGCUGAAUUCACGGUUCUGUGCCAGAGGGCGCCUGAUCUCUCUCGCGCAUGCGCGCCUUUCAACUCCUACAGUGUCCUGGUCUCUACAAGCCAACUGCAAGAGAACCUGGCUCAACACAAGGCUUUCGAGCUCCUUCCUGUGACCCUGGUUUUGAAGGACAUCUUCACUCUCGGUGGCAACACUGAUCUUCUUGCACGGGGCUUCUGAGAGUGAAGAGGAUCUCUGGGAGAGGCUAUACUGUGGGAGCCCCUUGAUGCCAGGCCACAAACGACCCUGCAAAAGAGUCCUACUUUACAAAGGCAGACACACAUUAUGUGAAGCAACCUCGCUCUGCCCUGCUGGCCCUACAAAGCUCACUGAGUUCCCAGCUUGCUGGAGCCCCAGGGAGCUAAGACAUUUCUGCUGAGUAACUUGAGCAUCAGCCUGUCCACGGCUCAGGAUCUUCCAGUCACCAGACUUCAUCCCCUAUCCCGGCAUUUCCGAUUCUUCUUGGUUUCCCCUCCUGGACUCUAACCUCAGAGUGGGCAGGUUGAGCGACUGGAUCUUUUUGGGUUUCCCGUGAGUGACAUCUGCACAAAUAUCCUGUCAGGGGAAGGGAGUGAGGUCAGCUGGCUCUGUGCGCAUGAGCGUUGCCAUGGAGUUCAGAGAGCGGAGACAGGCAAGGCUUCCGGCAACAUCACUUUCUCCCCAAAGCCUGAAAAACUCUGGAGCCAGGGAAAGCACCAUCCGCAGGCAGAACCACAGGAAGCCAAAGAGAACAAUUCCCUGUUUUUCCUCUGUCAACCAACCACGUUAUUAAGCCUAAAAUACAAAGAAACAACAUGGCUAAUUAUCGAAGUUUGGAACCAAUACGUUUAAGGCACCAGGCUGGAGAACAUUUCUCCCCGUCUUGUUCAUUAACUAUUCUCCCAAACACUAAAUAAAAGCCUUUGAUUUAAA